AUUGAACGCUGGCGGCAGGUCUAACACAUGCAAGUCGAGCGGAUGAAGGGAGCUUGCUCCUGGAUUCAGCGGCGGACGGGUGAGUAAUGCCUAGGAAUCUGCCUGGUAGUGGGGGAUAACGUCCGGAAACGGGCGCUAAUACCGCAUACGUCCUGAGGGAGAAAGUGGGGGAUCUUCGGACCUCACGCUAUCAGAUGAGCCUAGGUCGGAUUAGCUAGUUGGUGUGGUAAAGGCCUACCAAGGCGACGAUCCGUAACUGGUCUGAGAGGAUGAUCAGUCACACUGGAACUGAGACACGGUCCAGACUCCUACGGGAGGCAGCAGUGGGGAAUAUUGGACAAUGGGCGAAAGCCUGAUCCAGCCAUGCCGCGUGUGUGAAGAAGGUCUUCGGAUUGUAAAGCACUUUAAGUUGGGAGGAAGGGCAGUAAGUUAAUACCUUGCUGUUUUGACGUUACCAACAGAAUAAGCACCGGCUAACUUCGUG
rnacentral:rRNA from 1 species